GAUGAACGCUGGCGGCGUGCCUAAUACAUGCAAGUCGAGCGAACAGACGAGGAGCUUGCUCCUCUGACGUUAGCGGCGGACGGGUGAGUAACACGUGGAUAACCUACCUAUAAGACUGGGAUAACUUCGGGAAACCGGAGCUAAUACCGGAUAAUAUAUUGAACCGCAUGGUUCAAUAGUGAAAGACGGUUUUGCUGUCACUUAUAGAUGGAUCCGCGCCGCAUUAGCUAGUUGGUAAGGUAACGGCUUACCAAGGCGACGAUGCGUAGCCGACCUGAGAGGGAGAUCGGCCACACUGGAACUGAGACAAGGUCCAGACUCCUACGGGAGGCAGCAGUAGGGAAUCUUCCGCAAUGGGCGAAAGCCUGACGGAGCAACGCCGCGUGAGUGAUGAAGGUCUUCGGAUCGUAAAACUCUGUUAUUAGGGAAGAACAAAUGUGUAAGUAACUAUGCACGUCUUGACGGUACCUAAUCAGAAAGCCACGGCUAACUACGUG
rnacentral:rRNA from 1 species